GACGGAGGAUGCAAGUGUUAUCCGGAAUCACUGGGCGUAAAGCGUCUGUAGGUGGUUUAAUAAGUCAACUGUUAAAUCUUGAGGCUCAACCUCAAAAUCGCAGUCGAAACUAUUAGGCUAGAGUAUAGUAGGGGUAAAGGGAAUUUCCAGUGGAGCGGUGAAAUGCGUAGAGAUUGGAAAGACCACCAAUGGCGAAGGCACUCUACUGGGCCAUUACUGACACUGAGGCGCGACAGCGUGGGGAGCAAACAGG
rnacentral:rRNA from 1 species